AGUGAACGCUAGCGGUGCGCCUAACACAUGCAAGUCGAGCGAGGCUUCGAGCCGAGCGGCGAACGGCUGCGUAACACGUUGGUACCUACCCCAUACUCAGGGAUAAUCCGCCGAAAGGCGGACUAAUACCGGAUAGUCCUGCAAAGGUAAAGCUUUAGCGGUAUGGGAAGGGCCUGCGGCCUAUCAGCUAGUUGGUGAGGUAAUGGCUCACCAAGGCUAUGACGGGUAGCUGAUCUGAGAGGAUGAUCAGCCAGAAUGGGACUGAGACACGGCCCAUACUCCUACGGGAGGCAGCAGUGAGGAAUAUUCCGCAAUGGGGGAAACCCUGACGGAGCGACACCGCGUGGAGGAUGAAACCCUUUUGGGCGUAAACUCCUGUUCUGAGGGACGAAAUUUUUGACGGUACCUCAGAAGAAAGCACCGGCUAAUUCUGUG
rnacentral:rRNA from 1 species